AGUGAACGCUGGCGGUAGGCCUAACACAUGCAAGUCGAACGGCAGCACAGUAAGAGCUUGCUCUUACGGGUGGCGAGUGGCGGACGGGUGAGGAAUACAUCGGAAUCUACUUUUUCGUGGGGGAUAACGUAGGGAAACUUACGCUAAUACCGCAUACGACCUACGGGUGAAAGCAGGGGAUCUUUGGACCUUGCGCGAUUGAAUGAGCCGAUGUCGGAUUAGCUAGUUGGCGGGGUAAAGGCCCACCAAGGCGACGAUCCGUAGCUGGUCUGAGAGGAUGGACAGCCAGACUGGAAGUGAGACACGGCCCAGACUCCUACAGGGAGCAGCGGUGCGGAAUAUUGGGGGAUGGGCGCGAGCCUAAUCCAGCCAUACGGCGGGGGUGAAGAAGGACUUCGGGUUCGAGAGCCCUUUUGUUGGGAAAGAAAUGCAGCUCGUUAAUACCCCGCUGUUCUGACGGUACCCAAAGAAAAAGCACCGGCUAACUUCGUG
rnacentral:rRNA from 1 species